rnacentral:rRNA from 1 species
UACGUAGGGGGCAAGCGUUGUCCGGAAUCAUUGGGCGUAAAGAGCGUGUAGGCGGCCUGGUAAGUCCGCUGUGAAAGUCCAGGGCUCAACCCUGGAAUGCCGGUGGAAACUGUCAGGCUCGAGUCCGGAAGAGGCGAGUGGAAUUCCUGGUGUAGCGGUGAAAUGCGCAGAUAUCUGGAGGAACACCGGUGGCGAAGGCGGCAUCCUGGACCAACACUGACGCUGAGGAGCGAAAGCCAGGGGAGCAAACAGG